CUGUUUACCCAGUGACGGUAUUUAACCAGAAAGCCACGGCUAACUACGUGCCAGCAGCCGCGGUAAUACGUAGGUGGCAAGCGUUAUCCGGAUUUAUUGGGCGUAAAGCGAGCGCAGGCGGUCUUUUAAGUCUAAUGUGAAAGCCUUCGGCUCAACCGAAGAAGUGCAUUGGAAACUGGGAGACUUGAGUGCAGAAGAGGACAGUGGAACUCCAUGUGUAGCGGUGAAAUGCGUAGAUAUAUGGAAGAACACCAGUGGCGAAGGCGGCUGUCUGGUCUGCAACUGACGCUGAGGCUCGAAAGCAUGGGUAGCGAACAGGAUUAGAUACCCUGGUAGUCCAUGCCGUAAACGAUGAUUACUAAGUGUUGGAGGGUUUCCGCCCUUCAGUGCUGCAGCUAACGCAUUAAGUAAUCCGCCUGGGGAGUACGACCGCAAGGUUGAAACUCAAAAGAAUUGACGGGGGCCCGCACAAGCGGUGGAGCAUGUGGUUUAAUUCGAAGCUACGCGAAGAACCUUACCAGGUCUUGACAUCUUCUGACAGUCUAAGAGAUUAGAGGUUCCCUUCGGGGACAGAAUGACAGGUGGUGCAUGGUUG
rnacentral:rRNA from 1 species